GUCCACGCCGUAACGAUGUCGAUUGGAGGCUGUGUCCUUGAGACGUGGCUUCCGGAGCUAACGCGUUAAUCGACCGCCUGGGAGUACGGCCGCAAGGUUAAACUCAAUGAAUUGACGGGCCGCACAAGCGGUGGAGCAUGUGGUUAAUUCGAUGCAACGCGAAGAACCUUACCUGGCCUUGACAUGUCUGGAAUCCUGCAGAGAUGCGGAGUGCCUUCGGGAAUCAGAACACAGGUGCUGCAUGGCUGUCGU
rnacentral:rRNA from 1 species